rnacentral:rRNA from 1 species
UACGUAGGGGGCGAGCGUUGUCCGGAAUUAUUGGGCGUAAAGAGCGUGUAGGCGGUUCGGUAAGUCUGUCGUGAAAUCCUGGGGCUCAACCUCGGGCGUGCGAUGGAUACUGCCGGGCUAGAGGGUGGUAGAGGCGAGUGGAAUUCCCGGUGUAGUGGUGAAAUGCGUAGAUAUCGGGAGGAACACCGGUGGCGAAGGCGGCAUCCUGGACCAAUACUGACGCUGAGGAGCGAAAGCCAGGGGAGCAAACGGG